AAGUGCCCCAAGAAACUGAAAGCGGAAGCUAGGCCCGCGUGAUUUUUGUGGACAACUUUUUUUUCCCACCAUCAUAUUCAUAUUAUUAUUCUGUCAUGCAUAUUGCAUAUUUCGUGACAUGGGCAAGCUAACUCUCUUGUUUGUUUUGUUGUUUGUUCCAGUUAAAGGGCAAACUUGACUUGCUUUUUGGGUAGCUUUACUUCAAAGCUUUAAUUAGAAGUGGAUCACGUUUUUAGUUAGUAGUAUGGGUAUCUGAACUGCAGUUUUUUUUGUCUUACUUGUAAUUGGUUGAUUUGCCUCUUUUUCCAAACUCUCUUGCUGUUUCAAAAUUUUCAAAGCUUAAUUGUCCAAGUUGAAGUUUCCCUGUUGAGUUUGAAUAUUAACUGGAUUUAAGAAAAAUCUUUAGUUAAAAGCUAUUUUCAAAGGGAAUUCAUUUUACAGUAAAGUUUAUCCAGGUAACUUUUUUUUUUUGUAUACCCUUUAUGCGGUUUUUUUCAUUCUGAUGGUUUAUUUAGUUUGUAAUUUUGCUCAGAGUGAGAAGAAUAUAAAAAGGCAUCUCCUUUACCAACCUUUCGUCACUGUUGGGUUGAUACCUAUUCCAUGAUACAUAUUCCAUUAUGACUUGACUUGAUUUGUUGGCUGGUAGCUAACCACAUAAAUAUGGAGAUAUUGUGUAUUAUUUGCUCUGGGCCCUAAAUUAUGAUAACUUAUUUGUGUUAAUGUUCGAGCAACAAGGUUAAUAUAUUGGAGCUCGUUCUGUGUCUUUUCAUUUUGGUAUCACUAAUUGCCUUACCACUCAUCAAUAGAUUCUGGUAGUUACUCGGUUCGUUUGAUUUCUCAAACAACACAGUGAAUUUGGCUUCUCAGAAAUGGCUGAGAAAGAGGGUAUGUAUUCAUCAAGGGAUUGGAGGAGAAUACCACUCUGCACUUUCUUUAAGGAUGCCAGACUAGUUUUCAAAUUAGACAGUCUUGGCCGGGAAAUUUUGUCGAUUGCACUUCCCGCAGCAAUGGCUUUGACAGCUGACCCUAUUGCUUCACUGGUUGACACAGCUUUUAUUGGCCAAAUAGGUCCAGUGGAGCUUGCUGCUGUAGGAGUUUCCAUAGCUCUUUUCAAUCAAGUAUCAAGGAUAGCAAUAUUCCCACUUGUUAGUGUCACAACCUCUUUUGUGGCUGAGGAAGAUACCCUCAGUGGAGCAAGCCCUCAGAUAGAGGAGAGUAGAUGCUUGGAAGCAGGUCCCACUAUGGAUGCUGAAACCAAAAAUUUGCUACCGCAGAAGGGCGGAAAUGUUCACAAUUCGGUUUUAGUUGUUGAAAGUUUUAAUAUAGUUAAGGAGGAAAAUAAGAGAAGGAAUAUCCCUUCAGCUUCAUCAGCAUUAUUUAUUGGUGGCAUCCUUGGUCUCAUCCAGGCAAUAUUACUUAUAUCUACAGCAAAACCUUUAUUGAACUUCAUGGGACUCUCCUAUGCUACAUCCUGCACAGCGGUACUUGACAUUGAGGUCCCUUGGUGCUCCUGCAGUUCUUCUUUCAUUAGCAAUGCAAGGAGUCUUCCGAGGAUUUAAAGACACUAAAACUCCUUUAUAUGCCACCGUGGCAGGAGAUGUAACCAACAUGGCACUAGAUCCUUUAUUCAUGUUUGUAUUCCGUUUGGGUGUCACUGGUGCAGCCAUUUCCCAUGUUAUUUCUCAGUACCUAAUUUCAGUUAUACUCCUGUGGAGGUUGAUGGAACAAGUUGACCUUAUACCUCCAAGCAUAAAGCAUUUGCAAUUUGAUCGAUUUCUUAAAAAUGGUUCUCUAUUAUUAAUGAGAGUCAUUGCUGUAACAUUCUGUGUGACACUGGCUGCAUCAUUAGCUGCAAGGCAGGGAUCAACAUCCAUGGCUGCAUUUCAAGUUUGUCUGCAGGUUUGGUUGUCAGUGUCUCUUCUCGCUGAUGGUCUGGCUGUUGCAGGGCAGGUUAGAUAUAAUUACUUUGUGCAAUAAAUGUCCUGCUAUGUUACUUGAUGAUGGCUGCAUGCCAAAACAUUUAAUAAAAGAUAUCAACGGCCUCUACUUGAAUAAUGCUUUCUUGUAUGAAAAGAUUCUGGAAAACAUGAUGAUUGUUUGAAUUUAUUUUCCGUGCACAUAUUCUUGCAAAAAAAUGGGUAUGAAAUAAAUAAUAGAAGCCGUAAUUACAUAUUUAUGUCAUCCAAUUGAUUUUCUUUUAUAAUUAUUUGUCCUAUCUAGGGAUGUAGUCACACUCCCUAGUUCUUUAUAUAAUGCUAUUUGCCAUCCUUUAGAAACACAAGCAAAAGGCCUUUUUUUUUUAACUUUUCAGUUUGGUACUAUGGCUCUAUUAGUUCAUAUCUUCCAAAAUAACAUGUUGGUUUCAGGCAAUUCUUGCAGGUGCAUUUGCUAAUAAGGACUAUGACAAGGCGACCGCAACUGCAUCCCGAGUACUGCAGAUGGGUUUGGUUCUAGGAUUGGCACUUGCUUUCAUUCUUGGAACAGGAUUACAUUUUGGAGCUAAACUGUUUACAAAUGAUGUUAAAGUUCUCAACCUCAUUAGAGUUGGGAUCCCGUUUGUUGCAUUCACCCAACCCUUGAAUUCUUUAGCAUUUGUGUUUGAUGGUGUCAACUUUGGGGCGUCUGAUUUUGCAUACUCAGCCUUUUCCAUGGAUGUGGUAGCAAUUAUUAGCAUCAUUUGUCUGCUUAUAUUGUCAUCCGUUGGUGGUUUCAUUGGAAUUUGGGUUGCUUUGACCAUCUACAUGGGUCUUAGGGCAUUUGCGGGCUUCUUGAGGAUUGGAACGGGAUCCGGACCUUGGGAGUUCCUUAGGAGUUCAUGACGGCACAAUAAUUUUAGCUUCAUAUCUGGCCAGUGGUGUUUGCUAGUUACAUUACAGUGAUAAAAGUUUUCCAUAGGCUUUUAAAUCUCAUAGAUAUUUUUUGAAAGAAUAGACACUUUCUCCCUGCUUGAUUGUGCUUGGGGCAUUGGUUGACAAAUCUACCUCUGCUUCAGAAUAUGUACAAAAACAUUUCUAAUUCUGUUAUCAUAGUCUCACAAUGAAAUGAAACAUAGAAUCAAACUUCUAUUGUAACCCUACAACAAAUAUAAUUACAUGAAUAACAUGAAAGUGAAAGAUUGCAUGGAACAAGUACUAGUGCUGAAUAAAGAUGCAUGACUUUUUGUU